rnacentral:rRNA from 1 species
GAUGAACGCUGACAGAAUGCUUAACACAUGCAAGUCUUUGGUGAAGCUGUGCUUGCACAGCCUAGCCAAGGCGGACGGGUGAGUAACGCGUAAGGAACUUGCCCUGCAGUCAGGGAUAACAGACGGAAACGACUGAUAAGACCUGGUAAAGUCAGGCGGACUCAUGUCCAGCCUGAUGAAAAGAGAUGCUGCAGGAGAGCCUUGCGUCCUAUUAGCUUGUUGGUGGGGUAACGGCCCACCAAGGCAAUGAUAGGUAGCCGGCCUGAGAGGGUGGACGGCCACAAGGGGACUGAGAUACGGCCCUUACUCCUACGGGAGGCAGCAGUGGGGAAUAUUGGACAAUGGGGGCAACCCUGAUGCAGCAAUUCUGUGUGCACGAUGAAGGUUUUCGGAUUGUAAAGUGCUUUCAGCAGGGAAGAAAAAAAUGACGGUACCUGCAGAAGAAGCGACGGCUAAAUACGUG